CCCUAUCUUUAGCCAUCUUCACUCCACAAUCCACAUACAAUUUCUUAGUCAUCUUCCCUUCUUCUCUCUCACACAGACUACCUUCAAUGGAGUCUCUUUCCCUCUUUCUAUCUUCCUCAACUCCAAUCUUCAAACCCCACAAAUCUAUACCUAAACCCACUCCAAAUUCACUCCAAAUUCCAAUUCUUUCAUCCUCUAACUCCCAUAAACAUCAAAUUUCAACCUUUUUACAUUCUCUCUCCUCAAAAACCUCCCUAAAACCCCAUCUCUCUCUUCCCAUUUUACUGGGUUGUUUUCUCCCUUCAUCUUCUUCUUUUGCAUCCGAAAUUGCAGACUCAUCUGAGCAAGUUUCUACCAGAAUUAACCUUGAAUCAAUUCUAGUUUCAAUCGAUGAUUUUUUUAACAAAUACCCAUAUUUUGUUGCUGGGGUUACUUUCAUUUGGCUCAUAAUUCUUCCUUUAGCUGAAGAAUACUUGCAAAAAUACAAGUAUGUAUCUGCUCUUACUGCUUUUCGCAAAUUGCGUGAUGAUAAUUGUGUUCAAUUGUUGGAUAUAAGGGAUGAGAAGAGUAAAGGGUAUCUUGGUUCACCUAAUUUGAGGAUGUUUAGCAAGAAUGUGGUUCAAGUUCCUUUUAAUCGAAGUGAUGAAGAUGAGUUUUUGAGAAAAGUGUUGGAAAGUUUUAAAGAUCCUAACAACAUUAGUCUUUGCAUUGUGGACAAUUUUGAUGGUAAUUCAAUCAAAGUGGCAGAAUUAUUAGUGAAGAAUGGCUUCAAAGAAGCUUUUGCAAUCAAGGGUGGUAUCAGUGGCAAAAACGGCUGGAGGGAGAUUCAACAGGAAUAUUUUCCACCAUCUGUACACGUGUAUGCUAAAAAAAAGGUCAAGAAAUCACAACGUGAAAGCAAUGGUGCUGCCAAUCAACCUGAUACAGAUCAAGUUCAAGCCGCCACUUCUGAUAAGUGACACGGGAGGACAAAUUUUUGCCAAUUAUCUUGGCAUGGCUUUCCUCUCAAGACCUGCAGAUUUACAUUUUCAGGUGAUCCUUACUUGCUGAAACUGGAGUAGGGCUUUGAGAGUGAUACCUCAAUUGCGAUUGUUGGAGUAUGGCUGAGUGUACGUGGGCGAAUCCUGAGCAAAGCCAUUGUUUCCCAUUCUAUGAAUAGCUGCUUGAUUUUGAUUGUUUUAUCUCAGUUUUUUAUGGGAAAAACAAGGAAUGCUAUGUAAUAUUGUAUACUAUAGUAACUAUACUGAGGAGCUUCUAUUGUAUGCGAUAUCGUAUCUAAUUCUAAAGCAUUGUACAAAGUUGGAUGACCACUUAUCUAAAUGAUCAUCUUGGACCUA